CUGCCUGUGGGAUUGCCCCUGGUAGCCGGAUUGGUCGCUCCCAGAUUGCGGGGAGAGCACAGCACCAGGAUAUGCCGCCCAGCCCGGAGCAGGAAGGGGUAGGACCUGCCUUGUGGGUGGCUUCUGCGCACAGGCUCCUCUCCAGACACGGUUCUCCUGGUGCACAAUGACAUCUCACUGCCUCUGUCUUGGCCUGACACCACUGGUUCUGCUUUGCUGCCUGCCCCUGGUGCACCCAGACCCAUGCGGCCUGAGCAUCGUGCCCAAGGACCUGGCAGUAGCGUUUGGGGGUGACGUGGUUCUGAACUGCACCAGCACGUGCUCCAGUCACACCAGCCUGGGCUGGGAGACGUCGGUGCCGAAGGUGACGAAGGAGGGAACCGGCUGGAUGUCUCUGCACAUCUCCAACCUCACAGAGUGGGACCUGAAGCCCCUGUGCUUUGUCAGCUCCACGGACAUCACCGAAAAAGCCAGGCUCCACGUGUACCGAUUCUCACCCCCUGAGAUCCACCUGGGAGCCGAGAUGGUGGCCGGUCACCAGGAGCGAAUCACCUGCAACGUCUCCAGCCUUGUGUCCGGUUCCAUCCCCUCCGACAUCAACGUCACCCUGAGCAGCGGGGGCAGCACCCUUAGCGAAAGCCGUGGCAGCCUGGCCGUGGGGUACAGCUUCGUGGCACAGCCCACGCAGCACGGGCAGGAGAUCGUGUGCCAGGCCUGGCUCCGCGUGGGCCACCAGGUGCUGAGUGACAGCGCCAGAGCCACCCUGCACGUCUGGGCCCCGCCCCACAACGUGAAGGUCUCCGUGGAGCGGCUGCAGUUCGGGGUCGGCGCUAACUUCACGGUGUGGUGCAGCGCCGAGGGGAACCCCCCACCCAAGCUGCGCUGGGAGCUGCCCUCCAACGCCAGCGUGGAGCUGUCUGACCGCGGCCAGACGGUAACCGUGCGCUCGGCUCAGCGUGCCCACAAUGGGACCUACCGGUGCCUAGCACAGAACAGAUACGGGGCCAGCUCGGGGCACAUUGAUGUCCUCAUCGAAGUCUCCACAGUUCCCCCAAGGUCCAGAACCGUGAUAGUCGCAGUGGUGCUGGGGGUGAUUGUGGUUCUUGGCGGCGUAGCCCUGGGAGUGUGGUGGCUUGUGAGAAAAUGCUUCAUGACAUCUUAGCUGCGGUCCAGGGCUGCCCCCCGCCCGCCCGCAGUGGGGAGGGCAACUCAGGGAAGGGGGAAGAACUGGGCAGUGAUGGGCCUGAAUCUUUGGGUGAGGACAAGGAGGAGCCCAGAGAUGUCUGACCCUGAAGCCCUCACCCCAGGGGACUGGUUCCUGGGGCGGGUGGGGUCACGGCCCUUUCCCUGAUGUGCCCCGGCUGGUGAGCUGGGACCGAGCAGAGGAGCCGAGCUGGGCCGCAGCUCUCCAGGGUGUCUAGUCCUGGUGCUUGUGUGCAUGUGUGUGUGCGUGUGCCUGUGUGCGUGCACAUGAGUGUGAAUGUGAGUGUGCAUAUGUGUGCAUGUACAAUCCUUUCUUCGGUGCCCUGGGACUGUUACAUUUAUAGUGAGUCCAGUCCAGACGCCCAGGUAACCCCAUGCUCCCCCCCACCCAGUGGCUCUCAUUGGUUCCACUUGGUUCUGAGGGUCUCAAAUAAACUGACUGCCUGGGCACCUUCUGCUCUGUGU
ensembl:lncRNA